rnacentral:rRNA from 1 species
CGAAGCGAAGCAGCGAUGUGAAGCAAAUCGCACCAAAGCCGGUCCCAGUUCGGAUAAGAGGCUGAAACUCGCCUCUUUGAAGUCGGAAUCGCUAGUAAUCGCAGAUCAGCAUGUUGCGGUGAAUACGUUUCCUGGUCUUGUACACACCGCCCGUCAAACCAUGAGAGUCGCCAACACCCGAAGUCCGCUUUGCGGCCCAAGGUGGGGGAGAUGAUUGGGGUUAAGUCGUAACAAGGUACC